UUUCUGUUUGUGGUUGAAAUAUUUUCCUAUUUAGGAUUUUCUACGUCUGGUGUUAAUUAAUCACUUAAUGACACCCGUCGUAACACCUACUUGGAACGCGCAAAGAUAAUUACCAAACGCUCGUACUGGUGUCACAUAAAUUUCCAUUAGCGCACAUUAACCUACAAAACUUUCUACGAUAUACAAGAUUAAUCCGACAAAUUAGACAAGCAACGAGUGUAAGAGUCGUGCUUUUGAGCACUUCUGUUCUCCUCCAACGAUGUCAUUGUAUGCAAAUAAAUAUUGUAAGCGUAUUCCCAAUGUGCAACAUUCUCGAGCGUGCGACGCUGGCAGGAGACAUUGAGAGUUCAGAUUUUCUGCCAUUCGAAAAUAAAGUGGACGCUGGAAAACACCGCCGAUGCAUUUCUGCACAAGUGCACAUGUCGACAUGUCACGUCGACAAUCCCCGCAUGGCUUAAUAAUACGUAAUGCAUGCGUUCUUGUG